CUCGCAGUCGAUCAAUUGAUAGAACAACGGUGGAAUACCAAGGAGCAAAUGUAUCAACAUCUAUGGAGACACGAGAGCGGGUUAUUAUUGAAGGGGAAUGCCUGUCCUAGCAUGCAAAGUCAGCUCCAGUAGGCUGAGUGAAUGAGAUCUUACAGAGAGAUGCAAUGACCAGGAAGGUGGUACUGUAGCACUUCAUGGAGAACGAAAGGCAUGGUGAGGCACAAGAAAUCAUUGUCAACCACAACAACCAAGACUAAACUUGUCCAUUAUCACUGGACCCAGUCAUUGUACACAAAGUGAACAGUCCUGCCGCUGUCACCACACUGGUCUAAAAACAAAACAGAAAAACUUUAUUUUUAUACAGAAUAUUCCAUCUGGUAACUGUAUGUUUGAAUUCCUUACUUGCAAGAUCAAUGGACAAGUUAGGCUGAGGAGCCUGUUUCCAUACUAUUCAACUCUAUGACUCAGGUUACUUAUUUACAAAAGGAGCACAUAUCAACGGACAAGACACCUCUGGUUGUUUGGAGCCAGAGGCCAAUCCAGCAUAGAUACAAGAAUAUCUACCUAAUGAGUCCAUGCCCACUUAGUUCCAAACUUCUGCAUUCAGCUCAUAUCCCUCUGAGCCUUGCCCCUCCAUGUACCUACCAAGUGUUUCAUAAAUUAUAGUAUUGUACCUGUUUCAAUCACUUCCUCUGGAGGCUCAUUCCAUAUACUCAUCACCCUUUGUGUGAAUCGGAGGCAGCAUCUCCCAACACUAUCACUCUGAGCAUGGGGGCCCCCCAGGGCUGUGUGCUCAGUCCACUGUUGUUCACUCUGCUGACCCAUGACUCUGCUACAACACACAGCUUGAACCACAUCAUCAAGUUCACCGAUGACACGACCAUGGUGGGUCUCAUCAGCAAGAACAAUGAGUCAGCUUACAGAGAGGAGGAGCAGCGGCUAACAGACUGGUGCAGAGCCAACAACCUGUAUCUGAAUGUGAACAAAACAAAAGAGAUGGUUGUUGACUUCAGGAGGGCAUGGAGCGAGCACUACCCGCUAAACAUCGACGGCUCCUCGGUAGAGAUCGUUAAGAGCACCAAAUUUCUUGACGUUCACUUGGCGGAGAAUCUCACCUGUUCCCUCAACACCAGCUCGAUAGCAAAGAAAGCCCAGCAGCAUCUCUACUUUCUGUGAAGGCUGAGGAAAGUCUAUCUCCCAUCCCCCAUCCUCAUCACAUUCCACAGGGGUUGUAUUGAGAGCAUCCUGAGUAGCUGCAUCACUGCCUGGUUCGGAAAUUGCACCAUCUCGGAUCGCAAGACCCUGCAGCGGAUAGUGAGGUCAGCUGAGAAGAUCAUCAGGGUGUCUGGUCCCACCAUUACAGACAUUUACACUACACACUGCAUCCACAAGGCAAACAGCAUUAUGAAGGACCCCAUGCACCCCUCAUACAAACUCUUCUCCCUCCUGCCGUCUGGGAAAAGGCACCGGAACAUUCGGGCUCUCACGACCAGACUAUGUAACAGUUUCUUCCCCCAAGCUAUCAGACUCCUCAAUACCCAGAGCCUGGACUGACACCAACUUACUGCCCUGUAUUGUGCCUAUUGUCUUGUUUAUUAUUUAUUGUAAUGCCUGCACUGUUUUGUUCACUUUAUGCAGUCCUGGGUAGGUCUGUAGUCUAGUUUUUUUCUGUGUUGUUUUCACGUAGUUCAGUGUAGUUUUUGCACUGUUUCAUGUAGCACCAUGGUCCUGAAAAACAUUGUCUCGUUUUUACUAUGCACUGUACCAGCAGUUAUGGUCGAAAUGACAAUAAAAAGUGACGACUUGAAUUGA